rnacentral:rRNA from 2 species
AAAACGACUCUCGGCAACGGAUAUCUCGGCUCACGCAUCGAUGAAGAACGUAGCAAAAUGCGAUACUUGGUGUGAAUUGCAGAAUCCCGUGAACCAUCGAGUUUUUGAACGCAAGUUGCGCCCGAAGCCUUUGGUUGAGGGCACGUCUGCCUGGGCGUCACGCA